UUAACACUGGCAGUAAAGAAGGCCUUUCUGAUUAAUAUAUAUACAUAUUAGUUGUGUGCGCGUGUUUUUUCCUCCACCGACCUGUGUUUCCUCUUUUACGGUAUUAUAAACAAGCUGAAAUCACAAAUGUCAAUCAAACAAACAAGGUUUGAAAUUCUCCGCCUAACAAAAGCUAUGCAAAAAGAGUUUGCCGGGUUUCAAGCUACACUUGUGUUUAAAAUACAGGCAUUAUGCGAACAACUAUAAUCAAUCAUCGGUAUAGUGCAAUAAUAAGUCAUACGUUAUUUCAAACAUACAGAGAACAUUUUUGAAUUUAAAACCCGAAUCCAAGUGUGACAUUUUAACUUAGGACCUUUAACUGUGGCAGAAGUUUAUUCCACAGUACUGUACCUAGCUCGUGUUCAUUACAAGUACACAGUCUAAAUCAAACACCAGGUUUGUACAGCAGGAUGUGGCGCCACAGUGCGGUAACCGUUCAGGAUAAUAAGUAUUUAACAAAUAAAAAGACUUAAAAGUGCGGUUCACCACUUAUCCGGCUCAGCUUUGACUGUGCUCCGCUCAGAAAGAUGUGCCGCCUUAACCAUCAACCUGAAGGGGCUUGUGGGAAAAUUAAUGUUCUCAGUGACGCACACCUUGGUAACUCGUGAGAACUCGGAGAAAAAGGGAUCCCUAAAGACACCCUUGAAAUGUUCAAAAAACAAACAAACAAACUUCCGCACCUUUCCUGGAUUAUCGUUACUAGGACCGCCAGAUCUGGGGGUGGUGUCCAUAGGCGAGGAACUGGUGACUGGGCCACCCACGUAACCAAGUCAAGAUCCGCCCGCAAUGGUGACGUGAAGCCCACUUGUGGGCUCUUGAGGGUCAAGGCCUCAGACUAGACCUUUGGGAAGGUGGAAUGUCAUUGUACUGGCAGGGAAAGACCCCGAGUUAUUGUGUGGGAGCAAAAGAUAUAGACGCAGUAUGAGCUCAGGUUCCAUGUGUUUCGAUUGGGGGUGGUCUCUCUCCUACUCUGGAAUGCAGGGGGAAGAUAGCGUGGGGAUACUCGACGGUCCCAGGCUGGAGGCCUUGGGAGUUUUUCCAGGUAGAAAAGAGGUUUGGGGGGGGGGGGGGGGGGGUCUGUUAAUGGGUUGGAGUCUCGGGAAGAAAAACUCUGGCUGCUGUUUCUGCAUACGCACCGAAGUAUUUGGAAUAGAAAGCCUUUAUUUGUCACGUAUAUGCACAUACGUUACAUUACCGGUACAGUCAAAUUCUUCUCUUCGCAUGUUCCGGCUUCAUAGGAGUUGGAGACAGAGUGCAGGGUCUUGAUAUGGCACUGCUGGGGCGGAGAGGAUUAAGGACCUUGCUCGAGGUCCCGACAGUGGCAGCUUGGCGGUGUUGGGGUUUGAACCCCUUGACCGUCUGAUCAGUAACCCAACGCCUUAACAUGUUUGAGAUAAUACUUGCUGCUGAAUCCAUAGUGCUACUAGGGGACCUCAGUACUUAGUCUAGGAUACUCCUUGGCUUGCAAAGAAGUCUAAUAAUUGCAAGGUGUAUGUGGUACCAGAGCACCUUGGGCCAAAGGUCAACGAGUGAUUUUAUGACCAUAUCAUCAGACUUGAGGCCGUAUGUCUUGGACAUUUGGGUUGCUUGAAAUUAUUUGGUUCAGUGAGAGAUGAAUUUAUUCCCACCUCUGAAAGGUCUUCUCCACUUGUACCAAGUGAAGUCUGGACACACUGAAUCUGAAUGGACCAUGUUCAUAUCCUCGACCACACACCCUGCUGCAAGAAGCUGCGGCCAGAAGACAGUCAGUGUCCGUCGUGGUAGUAAUCCUAGGAUGCACUUGUGGACAUCAGUUCUGAAGAACGAGGCCAAGAAAUGCUCAUGGAGGGCUCUACUGAUUCAAUUGAGAGGCACAGGGGAGCCAGAAGGGGGUGCAGCAAAAGCAGUUACUGAAGUGGAAGCUUCUGCAAUAGAGGUGUUUGGUGUCAAAGAUGUUCUGGCAGACCAUUUGGUGCCUCUGAAAGGGGAAAUGAAACCGUGCAUAAAUUCUGCUAAGCAAGUGCCAGUUAGUGUCAACCUCUACUCGGGAUAUUUUGAAGUGAUGGAUGGAGCACUCUGACAAACUCCUGAACCUAGUGGACAUGCCCUCCCUUCAGAUGGAAGUUCUCAAAAUCCCUAAAAGCUUCAUAGUGGCAAAGCUGCAAUGGUGGAGGAGAUUUAUCUGGGGACAUUGAAGACACUGGACAGGGGUAGGAGUGUGUGGUUAACACGCCUUUCAAAGUCAUGGAGGACUGGGGCAGUGCUUUGUGAGGGGUCACGGUCAUAUGUUUAUCCAGUCUACAUGUAUUUAUUUGGAAAACGCCUAUGAUUGGUGGGCUGGACAUUUGUGGUGGGAGGUAGUGCAGGAGUACAGGGUAUCUGGGUUGCUACUUGGUACGAUUCGGUCUCUGUAGGUGCACAGUAGGAGUUGUGCUUGCGUUUAAGGUGGUUGUUGGAUGUUGUCAAGGGUGUCCCAUCUCCACAUCUGUUUCUGGGUUUCAUGCACAGGAAAUCAAGGAGCAGCCAUGGUUGAAGAGGUGUGCAUUUUGGUGGUGGUGGUGGGGGGAUAGGGUGAUGUUUUCUCGGCACCAUCCGAAGUGUAUCUCCGGCAUACACACGAAUGUUUUGCUGCCGAGUAUGACGCAUCAGGGUUGAAAAAUCACCACCUCAUUGUCUGAGUCUCCCAAAAAAAGAGGAGGGCCUUCUCAUCCAAGUGAGGAGAGAGACCUUCCCCGCUGCUGGAGGAGUUACAUACUUUGGGAUCUUAUACCAGUAGUGGUGGAAAAAGAAUGGAAAAGAGAGAGUGUAUCAAAUGCAUCAAGGCAGUAGCAGCGUUACAGUAGGAGCUCAGUUUGGGGAUGAAGCUUCCUGUCUACUGGUCAACUCUCAUCCCUGUCCUCACCAUGAGCUGUGGAUAGUGACUGAAAGAAUAGGGUCACGAGUACACGUGCCAGAAGCUUCAGACGGUCCGACUGGCUUUAGGACCAUGUAGUGUCCUGCAGAAGGGGAGGCGCUUUUUAACGUAUUUUAACCUCUUUCCCUCAGACGUUUAGAGAGCACUUAAAGGUGUCCGAUCUAAUUUUGAUGACUACUGUACAAUGCAAGCCCUCAAAAGGUCAGGUUCCUUUUGAAACCAUAGUUCAUAUUUUUACAACAACAAAAAAAAACACACAAAACAGAGACUGGCUCGUUCUUGUGACUGGUUGCGUUGUGCGUCGAGGCGGCAAAAUGCUACUGCAAACACAAUGUCUCGCUGAAGACGGUAACAAUACAAGGGGAAAGAAGGAAGAAAAACAGUCCACUGGGACACAAGUUUUUUGUUUUUCAAGUUCAAAAGAGGACUGGUAAGUCCUGAGAAAGGGAACAUGGGGGUGUGGCUAAACCAAGAAAAAAAGAAAAAAAAAAAAGGAGCUGGUUAAAACAAAUAAUAAUAAAAAGUUGCUUUCUAAAUCAUUUCUACUCACCAAGAUUGAUCUAUUAUUAAAAAGUAAUGUUUGACUAAAAGAAGUGUGGCACAGUGGGACUUCCCUCUGCGAUCUGGGCUCAAGUCAGAAGCAGUCUAGUUUAAGUCUAGUUUGACGGAACUACAAAAUGUUACACUGAAACACCCUGAAGUACGUUCUGAUAACUGAUCCCACACGGACGAGAUCGGACGAGAUGCUGCUCAUCUCGAGGACCACAUUAUUACGGCUGAAAUUAGGAUCGACACGCGAGUGAGCUCUGAUCAGCACGCGAGUGCUACGUUAGCUCAUCCUUUAUGAUUCCAUUACGGUAGAGCAAAAGAUAUAACCGUUUUCUUAACCCAACAACUAAAAUUAGAAUUUGAAAAAAAAAAAAAGUAACGAUAAAAAGCCUCCGUCUAGCGAACGUACCACGAUUCCACGGGCGCCUUUCGUCCGAUUGCGCGCGCGGUUAGAAACGAAGAAAACGCACAAAAACGCGACGUGCUGGAUCGAGUGCUAUUUUAUAAACGGGGGAAUAAUGAAUGCGGGAGCCGUAUUGUUCAAUUAAACCAGGUUACGGUGAUCGACGUGAUCAUCGUAACAACGAGGACUAUUGAGAUUUAUUUCACCGCUUUCCAUCGUCUCGUUCAUGGAUCAAGUCUUUUUCCGCCGUUUUGACGCUUCCUCGCUCCCUUUAAGUUACAUCGUUUUUCCAUUUGCCAUCCUUUUCGAGGAGGAGAAAUCUUACCCCGGGGUGUUUCCGGAAACGUCCGUUUGAAGAAAAGUGCCCGUGUUUAAAGGCGGUGGUCUGGACGCUUUUGAAGCUCCCGUGCUACUACUCGAUAAAAAUCUCAAUUUAAAGUUAAGAUUUGCAUAAACAGAAUACGGAGCACAGAACAUCACCUUAAGUACCUGCGUAACGCGGAUCUGAAUACAAAGAACUUUCCCCAUGUAGAUCUUUAUAUUAUUAUUAUUAUUAUUAUUUAUCUUAAUCCGCUGACUCGUUGUGUACACGGUCACGAUGACAACAAAUCUCAAAUUCCUUACAUUUGGCCUAACUACAAUGGUACUUUUCUAUAAAGGCUGAAAGGGUCUUGGCGAAUUUGCAGUGUAGUUAUUUUAAUUUUUACUAUUAUUAUUAUUAUUAUUAUUAUUAUUAUUAUUAUUAUUAUUAUUAUUAUUAUUAGCUCUUAAAGGAUAUGCGGGGACCCACUUCCUUCCUAGAGAACUCUGGUGCGAUCGAAUCGCGUUUAAGUCGGAGAAGCUGCUCUUGUCGGUCUGACGACAUGAAAGCGUGUCAUGUCGAAGCGUCGACGACUCGAUCCAGCUAAAAGGAAAGAAACCAAGUUAACGAAAUCAUCACUCAGGACACUUUCCCAGUCAGGGACCUGAUUGAAUUCAGCUCCAACUGUCUGAUGGAUAGCGUUAGCAGUUUAUAUUCUCUCGCUGUAUAGCAGCUCAUGGGCUGGGGCUUUGGCCGGGACCCGGCGGGUUGGACGGUAAGUCUGCGGGACACGUGGAGCCGUUGCUGGGGUGAUGGGUGGUGGUGGUGGUGGUGGUGGUGGUGUUGGUGGUUGGGGUUGUGGCGGUUGUAGUAGGUGAAGACGACACUCGAUCGGCCCAGAUCCUUGGCACUUUGCCCAGGGGGCGGAGCCUAUGCGCGUCCAACAUCUCCAGCAGCAGGUCAUACAGAGGAACUUUGUUCUUGCACUUCAUGCUGUACAGGUGUUCCAUCCCUUUAUAGCUCAUGUGUCUGAUGUGCGAGAGCAAAAGCAGGAGCUGGGCUUGACGCCGGGACUGGAGCUGCACCGAGAUUCCCGAUUGGCUGAUGUAGUAUAUGAGGGCAUCCGUGAUGUUAUCCAUCAUGCACUGCACCAUGAAGCCGUCCCUCAGGGGCUCGACGGGGGAGGAGCAGAACGAAAACGCACCAGAGUUGAGCAGGAUGAUGGCUUUGAGACACACAAACUCCUCUGACUUGAGUUUGAGGGUGCGGAAACGGGCCACUGUGGCCAGCAGCAUGUCGAAUAUCUCAGCCAUGCCCUCCACACACUCUCCUUCACUCUUGUCGAGGAUGAGGUCCUGAGCGAAGAUGAGUUUUCCAGGUGUGUAGAUGGACCUCCAGAUGAGACCAAUCAUCAAAAUCUCCAGCCAGGAGCUUUCCAACAGCUGUACCUGGUCAUGCAGAGAGAGGUCCUGGAAUCCAGGCACUUUCUUGGCCCAGGCGAUCAUGUGAACGAGCUCCCUGUCGGCCAUGUUGGUGAGCAGACUCAUUAUGGUGAGCUCGCUGUAGGGUCGGCUGUGUUUCUGUCGUGAGCACAGGGUGGGCGGCUCCGCCCGCAACAGCAGCAGCAACACCUGCUCCGGAGACAUGCAGACCACGUCCGCUACCCCUCCCCCGAUCCCGGAACUGCUCUGCCCGUCCUGUGGAAGCGCUUCUCUCACAUCAGAACCGCUCUGGGCUUUGCUAUAACCUCGCUCCCGCUCCUUCAGUCCACUCGGCCUCCUGUUGUGCUUGAUGAUGCGACCGCCACGCUCCUUACGAAAACCUCCUUUCAUCAUGCCCACUUCGUAGCACUUGCGUAGACGACACGCUUGACAGCUCUUCCUGCGGUUCCUGUCGAUGGUGCACUGGUUGGUCGCUGGACACACGUAAUCAUUGUGACCUUGUAUACUGCGCUUGAAGAAGGCCUUGCAGCCCUCGCACGACCAGACUCCGUAGUGGUACCCUGAGGCGUAGUCACUGCACACCGAACAGUAGCGGAUCUCCUUCACCAACCCGAUUGCUCCUGAAGGCCCCGAAGCUCCCGAUGGUCCCGAGGCUCCCACUGCGGUGUACACAUCCUGCCUGCCGGGGGCGCUGCACAGCUCCACUCGUGAUCCUGCACUGGCUAACACACUGGACCUGUAGAUGGAGGUUCCUGAUGGUUCCAGGUAGUACGGCACCUGCUGAGCAGUAUGUUGUCCUGCGGGAGGAUGGCCGAGGAACGGCGAGAGCUGCGGGCUGGAAGGAACGAACACCGGAGGGCUGCUGGAGCCGUUAGGCAGCGGCUGCAGGUUCUCCUCCUGAGGCUCUGGGGCGACUGAGUAGUAGUCCACUGACGAGUUGGUGGCAUCGGGGUUGGUGGUGUAGUUGAACGUCCCGUCUAGGUAGUGAGCGGUGGAGGAAAUGCCCCCCGUGGUGCGCUGCUCCUCCUCCGGGUACAUGGGCGAGAGCUUGAGGGAAGCGAGAGACACCGAAUACCCUUCUAGCUCGCUCCUGCGUCGCUGCCUGGCACCAGCCGGAGCUUCAGCGCGAGCCUGCUCUUCCGACAUCACCGUGGAAACACACACGUAUACACACACGCUCGUGCCGAAUUCGGCACGAGAAAUGACACAAGAAAACAGACAAACCUCUGAACAAGAAUAUACAAACGAACAAACAAACAAACAAAAAAGGAACUGAGCAGCGGGAGGUGUCCUACCGGUUGGCGUCUCCCCUCCCCACAAUGGGCCCCCGCUGUGAGAGGUGUGUGCGAGUGAGCCGUUUUUGCGUAUGAAUGUAUGGACCUGGGGCUGAGGAUGCGGAGCUUACCUCCGAAAUCUCUAACUUUCAGCGCAUGUCAUUCUUCGACUGCGCUCCGUGUGCAAAGUGAGCAGAAGAAUGGGUGUGUGUGUGUGCGCGCGUAUGUGUGUGUGAGAGAGAGAGAGAGAGAGCGCGUGUGUGCCUGAAGUGUGUGUCGAGCAGGACUGAAUGUGGACGCAUGUGGAGAGUCACCAUCGAAAUACUGAAAGGAGCGUUAAUACAAAGUAGUCUGGAAAAAUCGAAUAAAGGAAGAAGAAAAAAAAAAAAAAAAGAAGUAAACAGCAAAGAAGAAGCGUCUGAUCAGAAAAGGAAAAAAAACUUCAAGAAUAAAAAAUUUCAAAGCAACAGCAAUGAUUUAAAAAUGAGAGACAUCAGGUUUCUUUUCUUUCUCUUUAAUUUUUUUUUUUUAAAUGACACUGGACUAGGCUCUUAAGUGAAGAAACGGAGGGCCGUUGUGUUUAAAAAAAAAAAAAAAAAAAAGAAGGAAAAAAAAGAUGCACUCCAUAGCUUUUGGGGUUUGCUUUUAGUCUCCAGUGUUUUACCUUUUUAUUUUAGCUUCUGAAUAUAUUUUCAUUGCUUGUGUAAAACUGCAGUUUAACCCUUACGAUCCCUCGAUACGAGUACCACUGUAGUUUUGCCUUUUUGGGAGAGAGAGAGAGAGGAGAAAAAAUCCGUUGCAAUCACCCAUUUUUACCUUUCAGUACUCUGUAUGACUCUUCUGCAUGAUAUUUGUUCUUUGUUAUUUUCCUUCUUGUAGGUUCCCAGGUAAAGCCCUCACACCUUUUGUGGUGGUAAUAAAUGGAGAAAUAAGGCCAUUUUAUGUAAAGUCACGAAAAAUUCAAUCUUUACGUGUACUGAAAUGCAGCGUAGUUUUGUUAUUUUUGUUUUUUACUUCUGUUGACAAAUUACUUUCUCCCCCUCUUUAUUUCAUUUGUAAACUUCUUACAUAUUUAACCCCUCCCAUGCCUCCUUUGUACUCACUUCUCAGUACCCACCUGAUCUGAUUCAGUCGAACCUGUUUUGCGUACACACUGAGGGCAGUGUGUGAUGAGUUGCAGAUUUAGGACUGAUAUGCCUGUCCCAUCAAACUAUAUGCAUAAUACAAAUACAAUCUUUUUUUUUUUUUUCCUUUUUUAUUUUAUUUUAUUUUUUUUUUUAUAUAUGUAUAUGUAAAUAGUCCUAAUUAAUGUCAAGCCACAUUAGAGGUGUAAUGCUUCACGAUAGUUUCAAUGAUUUGAAAUAAAUGACCUGCCUCUUAUUUUGGGGUGUUCUUUCUGGGGGAAAAAAUGAUUUGCGUAGCGUGAUGCUCCAGCUUCCUGAAGUCUCUGGUGUCUCGCAGACUGUCGUCCGGUGCCUUCUUUCUAGAGCACAAGUAAAAGGAGGGAAGAAAAAAAAAAAAAAAACCCCGCAUGAACAAAACAGUGGUGUUCUCGAGUGCACAAUAUUGUCCUUAUUCCCUUCUAGGUCCCUUUUUAUUUUAUUUUAUUUUGUUUGUGUUGAAGUUUCACAACACUGUAAAGAUGGAUUACUCUUACUUGUGGUCAUAACCUUCUGUAGGACAUAGGGUAUAUGUGCAGCAUUCUUCAAAUAUGCAGCAUUGGCAAAGUUGUGGUUUCAAAGGCCAGGAAAACAUUGAAAUUAGAUGAUAUCUUAACCUGUUGACCAUACAACUACAGGCUAAGUUUCUUUCAUGAAAUAAAUAUUGAAACCAUGAAAAAAAAAAAAAAAAAAAAAAAAAA
rnacentral:misc_RNA from 1 species